rnacentral:miRNA from 1 species
AAAUCAUAUAUACAUGCAUACUAGAUUAGAUAUACACUGUGUGUGUGUGUGUGUGUAUGUGUGUGUGUGUGUAUACACACACACACACACACACACACACUAAAUGUGCAUAUA